GAUGAACGCUGGCGGCGUGCCUAAUACAUGCAAGUCGAGCGAACAGACGAGGAGCUUGCUCCUCUGACGUUAGCGGCGGACGGGUGAGUAACACGUGGAUAACCUACCUAUAAGACUGGGAUAACUUCGGGAAGCCGGAGCUAAUACCGGAUAAUAUAUUGAACCGCAUGGUUCAAUAGUGAAAGACGGUUUUGCUGUCACUUAUAGAUGGAUCCGCGCCGCAUUAGCUAGUUGGUAAGGUAACGGCUUACCAAGGCAACGAUGCGUAGCCGACCUGAGAGGGUGAUCGGCCACACGGGAACUGAGACACGGUCCAGACGCCUACGGGAGGCAGCAGUAGGGAAUCUUCCGCAAUGGGCGAAAGCCUGACGGAGCAACGCCGCGUGAGUGAUGAAGGUCUUCGGAUCGUAAAACUCUGUUAUUAGGGAAGAACAAAUGUGUAAGUAACUAUGCACGUCUUGACGGUACCUAAUCAGAAAGCCACGGCUAACUACGUG
rnacentral:rRNA from 1 species